GACGAACGCUGGCGGCGUGCUUAACACAUGCAAGUCGAACGGAAAGGCCCUGCUUUUGUGGGGUGCUCGAGUGGCGAACGGGUGAGUAACACGUGAGUAACCCGCCCCUGUAUUUGGGAUAACUCCAGGAAACUGGGGCUAAUACCGGAUAGGAGCUCCUGCUGCAUGGUGGGGGUUGGUCAGUUUCGGCGGUUGGGGAUGGACUCGCGGCUUAUCAGCUUGUUGGUGGGGUAGUGGCUUACCAAGGCUUUGACGGGUAGCCGGCCUGAGAGGGUGACCGGCCACAUGAGGACUGAGAUACGGACCAGACGGCUACGGGAGGCAGCAGGGGGGAAUAUGACACAAUGAGCGGAAGCCAGAGGCAGCAACGCCGCGUGCGGAAUAACGUCCUUCGAGUUGUAAACCGCUUUGGCCUGAGACGAAGCGUGAGUGACGGUAAUGGGUAAAGAAGCAACGGCUAACUACGUG
rnacentral:rRNA from 1 species